GAUGAACGCUGGCGGCGUGCCUAAUACAUGCAAGUCGAGCGAACGGACGAGAAGCUUGCUUCUCUGAUGUUAGCGGCGGACGGGUGAGUAACACGUGGAUAACCUACCUAUAAGACUGGGAUAACUUCGGGAAACCGGAGCUAAUACCGGAUGAUAUUUUGAACCGCAUGGUUCAAAAGUGAAAGACGGUCUUGCUGUCACUUAUAGAUGGAUCCGCGCUGCAUUAGCUAGUUGGUAAGGUAACGGCUUACCAAGGCAACGAUGCAUACCCGACCUGAGAGGGUGAUCGGCCACACUGGAACUGAGACACGGUCCAGACUCCUACGGGAGGCGGCAGUAGGGAAUCUUCCGCAAUGGGCGAAAGCCUGACGGAGCAACGCCGCGUGAGUGAUGAAGGUCUUCGGAUCGUAAAACUCUGUUAUUAGGGAAGAACAUAUGUGUAAGUAACUGUGCACAUCUUGACGGUACCUAAUCAGAAAGCCGCGGCUAACUACGUG
rnacentral:rRNA from 1 species